ACCACUGAACUGCAGGCUUGACGUGGGUGAAUUAUGUGGUAUGUGAAUUACACCUCAACAAAGCCUUUAAAAAUGCCUGAGGAAUUCCUUCUCCUCUGCAGUUCUUGUGAACACGGACUAAGUAUCCUCCUAGCCCAGGACGGAGCCUGGAAUACGGACGGCUCGCGCUCUGAGAGAAGGUGUCUGCUAAGAGGAAAAGACCAUCCACACGCAAAACCCUCCGGUGGGUUCCAGGCACAGACCCAAAAGCGGGAUGAAGGCGGUCACCCGGACAGCUGUGUGCAGGGCCAACCACCACUGAAGAGGCACGACCGGUGUCUGAAACUUCUGGAUGCUCAUGUAACGUCUCCUUAACCCUGCAGACGCUCCAAGUAAACACUCUGACCUCAUCUUACAGACGUGAAAGCUGGAGGCCCCCCAGCAGCAAGGCCGGCCGGACGUCAGGGUGAGCCAGGUGACUCGUGGGGCCAGAGCCCACGCCAGGACGUGCGCCCAGACAGAACCGCAGACUGAAACCAACUGCUGGCCAGGGCACGCCGGUCACUCCAGUGCUGGUCCCACGGCGACGUGACUCCCUAAAUCCCACGAGAACCCCCAGAGCACAGACGGCCCGGCCCUCCAGUCCGGGCACAUGAACGACUGACGCUCACGCCAACGGGGCUUCUCUGGCUGCGAGUGGCUGUUCCUCCCUGCGGUAGACGCAAGGGGCCAAACCACACAGAGGGGGGAAAUCGCCCAUUUGUUUCCUUAGGACAUCACAAAAUGGAAGGAGUCCCGAAAGGAGUCACCUGUCAGAUGGUCUCCCCGGCCCAACUCCCAGCAAGAGGAACCCGCCCGCCCGCGGGGACCCCUGCUUCUUCAGGAACCUGACUAACCUGCUUCUGGAAGGACUCGUGGAAUCUGUUCAUCAAAGUCUCCUUGGGUCUCUCACUUCUGGAAUGCUUUCAUGUGGGGAGGCCCAGGGACUUUUUUCCAGAGUUUAAAAAAAAAAACAAAACUAUUUUAGCUAACUCGGGAAUCUUGGAAUUACUGACAAAGCAGAAGUUCAAAGUUCCAAAAAGAAUACUCAUCUCUGUUCAAUUCAAUCUGGUUUUGGUUUUGUUCUUUUUAAAAAAAAAAAAAAAAAAAACCCCUCCCAGGCCUGGAUGGUUUCGUCUAAAAGUGACUCAGGUUUUCUAGGAUCUCUGGAUGGGAAAAUGAACAUAUUCUAAAAUACCUGGCAGGCUCCAUCUCUGGAUUCCAGCGGAGGCGACGCAGAGAACCUGCGUUUGCAGCCUAAUUCAGUCCCUCUGAUAAAAUCCCAAGCAAUCACCCAAUAUUAUAAGCCAAGUGACAUACAAGUAAACCCACUUAAACAGGUAUUUACUGAUCACAGGGAGUGAGACAGGGCCCCUGCCUGCCGGCUGCCUUGCAGUAGACAACUAGGAACGCAGUUAAUCAACCAGAACACGGAACGCCUCGGAAACUGGCAGGGACCAACUAGGAACUAUGAAAAAUGUCACAGAAAGGAAAGUAUUGAGUCAGUUCUCGCCCACAGCUAAGUCUGCACAGAAGGUGGAGAGCCAGGUCUCCAGGCAGGGAAGGCUGAGCGCCCGGAGCCCCAGAACUGGAGGAUGCGGCUGAUCCGAGCCACGCACACGUGAGGGACUCAGCCCGGGCUCCACACACGCGGGCCGGGGCCUGCUACUCCUGAGUUUCCACACCCACCGCCACGGGAAGCAAGCCCCCUGCGACGCCCCCCCCAAGGCUGAUCGCGGGCUUCUCGGGGGGCGAGGGCAGGGCCGGGCCCCCUCACGGCCCUCCUGCGCUCGGGGAACACACCCUCUGGGCAGAUGCCCCCUUUCUGGACAGAGAAGACGGCAACCCUCAUGAGGGUCUCGGGUGGUCUCCACAAGAACGGGAUCCUGGAACCUCCUUCCCCUCAGAAAAACCCUCUGAGGACGAAGGGUCUGUGUCUAGGAGUGGCUGGUUACUCAGUCAGAAGCCAAUUCUCCAGACAGGCUCCUAAAGGGGCCGGCGGCGUGAGGAGGUCGGACCCGACGCAUCGCCGGAGCCGGGCGCCAGGGGACCCCAGCUCGGCCACCAGCAGCAGGUGCGGGCGAGUCUCAGUCUCUGGGUGCCUCGGUUUCCCCAUCUGUAAGGUGGGGCGGGUGAGACCCCUCACUGCACAGCAUUACUGCAGGAUUAAGCUGGUUCAUGCGUCAGGCACAAGGCAGGCCCUGGUCACCACUGCGCACACGCAGCACUACCGUGCACCACGCCCCGCCAAGCCCCCCACCAGGGAGGUGGCGGGCGGGACACGCUCUCCCCCAGCAGAGCCCCUCUCAGGGGACAGAACCCCCACAGCGCACGGGGAACCCUGAACCUCUUACGGAGACUUCACGAGACCCCGACUUCACCAUCCCUCCCACGAGGACGCGCGGGGGGCAGAAGCCACCCCAAGAUAAGGACACGUGCAGACUGGCCUUGGGCCCUGAAGAGCUGACAACGCAAUUUCAAACCUCCCUUCGGUGUGAAACCCCACCCGUGAGUGGUCAGUUCCCGCCGCCUGGACUGGAACUUCUCGGGAGCUGGGAGGUGAAAUUACGGUUCUGCAGAUAAUGAACUGUGCAGAGUCAGGAGUGUCGCCCGCCUCCGUCCCAGCACAGGGCCUCUGCACUUCCAACAGAGUGACAUCCCCAGACGUCCCCCCUCCCAACACACGAUGCCAGAGGCCCUGGGGCCCUUCCUGCUGGUCCCAGGGGCCACGGGGACACUGGGCUCGCCAGUGGGCUGGGCCAGCACCAGCAUAACCAGACACAGACAUCGGAAACAGCAGAGCCAGGAAUCUCCUGCUGAUGAGCUGCAUGGUUCUCCUUUGGGGGUGGGUGUUGACACAACAAAGCAUGCUUUUCGUUAUAAAUACAUCUGCAAUUAUUAACGAGAGUGGAAGCUGAGAGGCCAAAAUUCCUACAAAACCAUUUUCAAACAAGAUCCCCGGCGCCCACCUCUGCCUGUCAGGCUGUGUUAUUAGCAAAUCCACUUAAUGUCACAGAAUCUGGGACACGCUGGGAUUUCCCUGACACUUUUCUCCUGGGAAACAGACACAGACACACAGGCGUGUAAAAUGUCUACGGACAAUUUUAUGUAUCAACACACGUGGUCUGACCUAUCCAGGUCAAAAACGGAAAAGAGAACUGGGGGGACUUCCCUGGUGGCCCAGCGGCUAAGACUCUGCACUCCCAACACAGGGGUGCCCCGUUCCAUCCCUGGUCAGGGAACUGGACCCCAGAGGCCACAAUGAAAGAGUUCACA